UGCUCAGUGUUCCCAUUCUGAAUCCUGUGAUUUGGUUGCUUAGUGACAGAGGAACACUCAGUCUGUCUGAAGCUGACAAGGAGCCUAGAGAGAAACUCAGCAAGGUGGAGUCUGUCUGCAUUUGUGAAAAUCAGCCAUCACCUACAGCAAUACUCAGACCUGGCAUUUAUAAGGCAGUUUUCAUCUAUAGAUCUCAACACAGUUUACAAAGGACAGGUAAGCAAGCUAAGGACAAGACAACAAAAUUUUCCAAAAAAAAAUCAUGCAAGGAAAGAAGAAAGAGAAAAUUAAAACAAAAGACAGUUCACUUUCUGACAUUUCCAUUCUUGAAAAGUUUAUGAAAACCUAUGAAAGGCAUUGUGCCUUUUCCCAAAGCUCUGUCAGUGGCAUGAUCAAACGGAGCUUAAGAAAAUGCAUAGAAAAUGAAACUAUUCUUACAAAGUUUGUGCUCACAAACUCUCAGAAUUCCCAGCCAGUCUUCCUCACACCUCUAUUAAGGACAAUUAGAGAUGAACGGUAUAUGUUAGGAAAAGAACUCUGUAUCUGGGGAAUUCAGCUAAACAAUCAAGACAUUGCAAACCUUGCAAUGCUUUUAGAGCGGAAUGGACGUACCAACUAUCCCUUUUGUACUCUAGAAAUAACUCAUGCUCAGAUAGAUGCAUGGUCCAUGGAGCGACUUGGAGCAGCUUUCCCUUUCAGCAACUUGAACUCCAUUGUUCUAGAUUAUACCAAGUUUGGAGAUAAAGGAAUCAACGGACUUGUUUCUGGGUUAGAGGGAAACAGAAAGCUUCUAACCCUCAGCUUAUGCUACUGCAGUUUGGAACCUGAAAGUGGGUCCAAGUUAGGCCCCAUUGUAGCCCAAACUGCCAUUUGCAAUCUUUAUCUAAAUGGUAACAACUUGCAAUGUUUGGGUGCCCUUGAGCUCAUCACACCAAUAGCUAUGUAUGCAGACAAUCUUGGAAGAGAUAAGGAGACAAAUGCCUUACUAUUCAACAAUUAUUCUGAUCAUCAAAUACCAGAAGCAGACAAGGGUUUGGGUAUCCAUUCAACAGCUUCUGGCUUGAACGUUGCUUCCAAAACAGGAAACUCUAACACUGUGGAAAGUAGUAUGAGGAAGGAAAAGAAAAGAAAAGCCUAAUCAAACAUUCUGAACACUUGAUAGAACUUGAUCUAGAUGGCAACGCUAUAGGAGAACUUUGUGCAACAGACAUCCUGGAAGCUCUUAAGGAGAGAAAAAAAGGUGGUAGUGUCUCCAACUUCAGUCCAUAAGCUUUAAAAAUUAUUUUACUUUUUAUUUAGGUGUUCAUCAGGGUGUUUAUACAAAGGAUAUGAGGAAUGUUAUAUGUAAGUUAAAUUUCUAUACAAAUUCACUACUAUUUAAAAUACAAUACAACCUUGAGUAUCUUAGAGAAUUUUCAGUGUAACAGAUGUCAGGGGAAAGGACCCUGUUAUGAAAAAUUGAGCUUUGUGUACUUAUAUUUGGGUGAAUGCAAGGUAAAAGUCAGAAAAAGGAUUCAAAUCCUGAAAAUGGCUAUGUAUUUUCUCUCUCUCUCUCUCUCUCUCUCUAUACACA
ensembl:lncRNA